AACGAACGCUGGCGGCAUGCCUAACACAUGCAAGUCGGACGAGACCUUCGGGUCUAGUGGCGCACGGGUGCGUAACGCGUGGGAACUUGCCCUUAGGUUCGGAAUAACUCCCCGAAAGGGGUGCUCAUACCGGUUAAUGUCUUCGGACCAAAGAUUUAUGGCUUUUGGAUGGGCCCGGGUUGGAUUAGGUAGUUGGUAGGGUAAACGCCUGCCAAGGCGGGGAUCCGGAGCUGGUCGGUGAGGAGGCACAGCGGGACUGGGACUGGGACACGGCCCAGACGCCAACGAGAAGCAGCAGAGAGGAAAAUAGGACAAGGAGCGAGAGCCUGAACCAGCGAGGCCGCGUGAGUGAUGAAGGCGUUAGGGUGGUAAAGCUCUUGUACCCGAGAUGAUAAGGACAUAACCGGUAGAAUAAGCCCCGGCUAACUCCUG
rnacentral:rRNA from 1 species